rnacentral:rRNA from 1 species
UGGAACCGCAGUGUCGACUCUUGGAAUUCAACCUGCCGUAGCACGGGACGAUGCUGGGAUAAUUGCGGAGCUUCCAAAGCCCGUUUCUCGGCGUCGGUCUCCGGUCGGUCUGGUGCACUUUCUUCGAGUCGAGAGCCACGACCGGCUCUUUGGCGGCCAUAAGCCUCGCUGGGAAGGUGACCUCCGGCCUCGGCUGGCGGAGUUUAUAGCCCAGCUUGCGUUGGCUCGUCGGAGGGCCGAGGAAAAAGCUUUGCCGCGACUCUUCGCUCUCGGACCAUCUGCGCUCGUCACGACUGGGGUGUACUGCUAGCCAGUGCUCUCCCGACCGCGAGCGUGGAAGGGUUCGUUCGGCGUGAGUUGCUUCGGGCCUGUGGCGAAUCGGUCGGUCACCCACCCGACC